UGGGGAAUAUUGCACAAUGGGGGAAACCCUGAUGCAGCGACGCCGCGUGAGCGAAGAAGGCUUUCGAGUCGUAAAGCUCUGUCCUAUGAGAAGAUAAUGACGGUAUCAUAGGAGGAAGCCCUGGCUAAAUACGUGCCAGCAGCCGCGGUAAUACGUAUGGGGCGAGCGUUGUCCGGAAUUAUUGGGCGUAAAGGGUACGUAGGCGGUUUUUUAAGUCAGGUGUCAAAGCGUGGAGCUUAACUCCAUUAAGCACUUGAAACUGAAAGACUUGAGUGAAGGAGAGGAAAGUGGAAUUCCUAGUGUAGCGGUGAAAUGCGUAGAUAUUAGGAGGAAUACCGGUGGCGAAGGCGGCUUUCUGGACUGCAACUGACACUGAGGCACGAAAGCGUGGGUAGCAAACAGG
rnacentral:rRNA from 1 species